CCCAGGGCGGGCGAAACACUAGUGCUCAAGUGCGCAAAGUGCAAGCUUCGAGGAAGCUCCCGUGAAUAAAAACAGCAAAACCGGAGCAGCGACCCUACUCACAAAGCGAACAGUCCCAGCCCACACGGCGACGCCAAGCCCAGAUAACGCAGGAAAGGAGUACUUACAGCCGGCGUGCGUUUGGGGAUUGAACUUGGGACCUUGCACUUGCAAGGCUGGUGGCAGAACCACUGAGCUAAAUUCCUGGCCUAAAUGUUUGUUUGUUUGUUUGUUUUUUGCGGUACUGGGGAUGGAACUCUGGACCUUGAGCUUAC
rnacentral:lncRNA from 1 species